rnacentral:rRNA from 1 species
CAUGUAGGCGGCCUGAUAAGCCUGGCGUGAAAGUCCAUGGCUCAACCAUGGGAUUGCGUCGGGAACUGUCGGGCUCGAGUCACGGAGGGGAAGCUAGAAUUCCUGGUGUAGGGGUGAAAUCUGUAGAGAUCAGGAAGAAUACCAGUGGCGAAGGCGAGCUUCUGGCCGAUGACUGACGCUGAGGUGCGAAAGUGUGGGGAUCAAACAGGAUUAGAUACCCUGGUAGUCCACACUGUAAACGAUGUGCACUAGGUGCUGGGGCGGAUGCUUCAGUGCCGGAGCUAACGCGGUAAGUGCACCGCCUGGGGAGUAUGCUCGCAAGGGUGAA